rnacentral:lncRNA from 1 species
UUCAAAUAAGCCUCGCAUUUGAUCUGACGGACACUGCUCCCUUGCACGGAACCUUAGAAGAAUUUCAGGCUAGAGAAGUUCAGACCUCAGACGUCGGACACCAAGAAAAUCCAUGCUGUAUGCUGUGCUCUUCUUAGCAAUUAAGAAGAUCUAGGUAGUUAAGAAAUGAAUGUUUGAUCACCAAGCUGGAAGGUAAUGAGUUGUUUGAUUCUUGGGUCAUCAAAAGUUGAAGAAACAAAUCAAACUGCUGCAUCAAACGGUCUGCUGGCCAGGUACUUGCAGUCAACAUGGGUCCGCUACCAAUCGUCAUCCACAGUUUCCAAGUCUUCCUUGUUUCCGGCUCCCAGCAGCUGAAGCAGCGAAGGUGCAUCCUUUAACGUAGGCAAUCUAAUUAGUUGAAGAUCAAACACUUCCAGGAAUGGGGCGAGAGCUUCUGUAAGAACCGGGGUAAAGAGAAACUUUAGCGGCGUGGAGAGAG